AAAACGACUCUCGGCAACGGAUAUCUAGGCUCUCGCAUCGAUGAAGAACGUAGCGAAAUGCGAUACUUGGUGUGAAUUGCAGAAUCCCGCGAAUCAUCGAGUUUUUGAACGCAAGUUGCGCCCGAAGCCAUUCGGCCGAGGGCACGUCUGCCUGGAUGUCACGC
rnacentral:rRNA from 1 species